AGUUUUUGGACGAAACGGGAAUUGAGAUUGAGCGAGCAUAAGGCGCCCGUAAGGUACAGACGCUCGUUUGGGUGAUCCUCCGGCUUAGGCUACUCAUUCCGCUAUUUUGGAGAGCCCCCUUUGAUCCGGAGCUUAUCUUUUGGUACAUAUUUUCCGCUAUGCAUAUUCUGUACAUUUGUGACUAUUUGGGUACGGCGGGGCCCUGUCCCGUAAUAUGUUCGUAUGUUCUGUUAUGUUUGUAGAGGCCUGUAGUCAUAUUUGUGGGUCGUGGGUCCGGUGUGUCCGUAUGCGGUUCUGUUUUGCGUUCUUAAGCGGCCCGUAUGCUAUUAUGGCCAAGACGGCCCAUAUGUUUGUAUGUGUGUGUGUGUGUGCAUUUGGGCGAUGUAUAUUCCGCCACUCUUCUGAUUUUGAUAUGACUAUUCUGCACGGGCGACCGCUUAAGAUAAAUGUUCGUUCAAUA